GUAGGUGGCAAGCGUUGUCCGGAAUUAUUGGGCGUAAAGCGCGCGCAGGCGGUUCUUUAAGUCUGAUGUGAAAGCCCACGGCUCAACCGUGGAGGGUCAUUGGAAACUGGAGAACUUGAGUACAGAAGAGGAAAGCGGAAUUCCACGUGUAGCGGUGAAAUGCGUAGAGAUGUGGAGGAACACCAGUGGCGAAGGCGGCUUUCUGGUCUGUAACUGACGCUGAGGCGCGAAAGCGUGGGGAGCAAACAGGGAUUAGGUACCCUGGUAGUCCACGCCGUAAACGAUGAGUGCUAAGUGUUAGGGGGUUUCCCGCCCCUUAGUGCUGCAGCUAACGCAUUAAGCACUCCGCCUGGGGAGUACGCCGCAAGGCUG
rnacentral:rRNA from 1 species